rnacentral:rRNA from 1 species
UACGUAGGGUGCGAGCGUUGCCCGGAUUUAUUGGGCGUAAAGGGCGCGUAGGCGGCUCGGCACGUCCGUUGUGAAAUCGCCCGGCUCAACUGGGCGGGGUCAGCGGAUACGGUCGAGCUUGAGCAAGCUAGGGGGCAAGUGGAAUUCCCGGUGUAGUGGUGGAAUGCGUAGAUAUCGGAAGGAACAUCGGUGGCGAAGGCGAACUUUCUGGACAGCUACUGACACUGAGGCACGAAAGCAUGGGGAGCAAACAGG